CCUCUCUGUGCAGGACGACUGCGUACGAAUGCUGUGGAGAUGUAAGAAGGCAGAAACUUGCAGAUUCCCAGCGGUUCAGCUAUUAACCUCUCUGUGCAGAA
rnacentral:lncRNA from 1 species